AUUUGAACACGAGCUCUACAAUCUAUACAUUAGUGGCAUGUUAUAAACACAAUUGCUUUCAGCUUUCAUGUAUUGGGAAUUUGGGGAUAGUUUGAGUCUAUUCCACUGCUGUGAAGACACGAACACAUCAAUCAAUCUCGGUGCAGAUCUAAUCGGGUCGGGACGCCCAGGAUAGAGGAGGAUAAAAUGGAUCAUGGUCGCUACGGUCGUCAGCAAGGAUGGGAAAAUAACAGCGCUUUGGAAGGUUAUGGUGCAGUACAUGAUCCAAACUUCCGGGCGGGUUCUUAUGAUGAUAGGAGGUAUGUUGACGAUAGAUAUCCUAGAGAUACCAUCUACCCAAGAAAUUCCUUUCACCGGGAUAUACUUGAGAGAGAUAGUUAUCCACCUCCAUCUUCAGUUGGUGCCUGGACACAAACAAGAGGGAGAAGUUAUGAGGAAGACUAUCCAAUUGAUAAGAACUCUAGGCGGCAUGAAAAGCCAUAUGUUGACUCAUAUCAAGACCUGGAUUCCUUUCAUGAUUCAGACAAAUACAAUGAUAUAGACACAUUCCAGGAUUACGAUAAAUUGCGGGAAGGUUAUCGCGGCGUAGACAAUUACCGGGAUCAAGGGAUCGAUAGGUCUGGGAGAUAUAGGGGACGUGAUCGUGAAGAGUAUGCGCUGGAUGAUUAUGAUUACAGACCUCGCGUAUCUCGUCAGAGCAGGGAAGAUAGCCGUGAAAGAGACUAUGGACGGCAUAGUUAUGACUCUGAUUAUGAUAGAGGUAGUAGAAGAGAUAGUAACUGGAGAAGGCACACCUCUCGUGACCGUGAUCGCGACAGAAGUGUUCUGAGUAGGGAGAGAGAUUCCAGUCCAUACGGAGGGCAUGAGCGUUCUCGGUCUCGUGGACAUGAUGACCGAUUAAGGUCAAGGUCUCCUCGAAGUAGAAGUUACAGUCGUAGUCAUCGAGAAGAUAGCUAUGAUGAUGCUCGACAUGAGAGGACUGAUAAACAGAAGGACCGUGAUGAGAAACGACAACAUGAUUAUAAUUAUGUGGCUCCAUCUGCUACUGUUGUUGUGAAAGGUCUCUCACAGAAGACAACUGAGGAAGAUUUGUACCAGAUCCUUGCUGAAUGGGGUCCCCUUCGCCAUGUUCGGGUUAUUAAAGAGAGAAAUUCUGGCACAUCUCGUGGAUUUGCUUUUAUAGAUUUUCCGUCCUUGGGUGCUGCACGCACAAUGAUGGAUCGGCUUGGAAAUGAUGGUCUUGUUGUGGACGGCAGGAAGCUGUUUUUUGAGUACAGCAAGCCAACUGGAGGGGCUAAUGGACCAUCUUUCGGAUCAGAUAGCGCAUCAAGAUCAGGUCAUGCAAACCAUAAAAGUAUCACAGUACCGUCAGACUGGAUGUGCACCAUAUGUGGCUGUGUAAAUUUUGCGCGGCGGACAUCUUGCUUUCAGUGUAAUGAAGCAAGAACAGACGAUGCUCCUCCAGCAGAUAUGAAUUCAUCGAAUCAUGCUCCCCUUGGUAGGAGAGGAGAUACAGGUCCUACUCAUGUUCUUGUUGUUCGCGGAUUGGAUGAAAAUGCUGAUGAAGAUAUGCUUCGAUAUGAAUUUUCAAAACAUGCUCCAAUCAAGGAUCUUCGGCUUGUCAGAGACAAAUUUACUCAUGUAUCAAAGGGAUAUGCGUUUGUUCAUUUUCAUUCGGUUGAUGAUGCUACUAAAGCUCUUGAAGCCACUAGUGGAACAACUUUAGAGAAAAAUGGCCAGAUCCUCCGAGUAGCAUAUGCAAAGAGCAUAAUUGGACCAGGAUCAGGACCUUCACAGUCCAGCAGUCUUGCUGCUGCUGCAAUUGAGGCUGCCACCUUUGCUCAACAGUAUGAUGCUGUUGGCUGGGCUCCGAAAGAAUAUAAUCCAGAUGAAAAACAAUCUACUGGCGGGCAGGAACAAUCUGGUGAGGUAGCAGUUCAGAGGGAUUCUUCAGCUCCGCAGUCUGGCUUCGUGUGGGAUGAAUCAUCUGGCUAUUAUUAUGACGCUUCUUCUGGAUUCUAUUAUGAUGGAAAUACAGGUUUAUACUAUGAUGGCAACAAUGGUAUCUGGUAUUCCUAUGAUCAACAUACUCAGCAAUAUAUUCCCUGUACGGACCAAACUGAUAAAACAGCUGGACUUGGAGCCGAUCUUUCUAAGGCUGCAGACAGUUCUAACAAUAGAAAAGUAGUUAUCUCUGCUCCAGCUGCUACAGUAACUUCAAGCGAGAAGCCUACCUCGUUGCCAGAUGCUGUCCAGGCUGCUGCGGCAGCAGCACUAGCUGCAGAGAAGAAAGAGAAGGAGAAGCAGAAAGAGAUACGACUUGCUUCAAAAAGUAGCAUUUUGGCUAGCAAGAAAAAGAUGAGCAAUGUUUUAACGAUGUGGAAACAGAGGAGUCAUGAAGGGCAAGCACCACGUUUGGCUCUUGAUGACAAGCAAAAUCUAUCGGCAGAAGAAAAAGUAAAUGCUAUCGGGUCAUCAAGUAAAGGCAAGCCAAAGACAGAGGCAGUGACCAUGAAAGAGAGUGCGAUGAAUACUUCAGGAAUUUCCACGAGCACGACCGGUCAGUCUACUGGUCCGGAUUCUCAAGAGAGGCCUAAGCCAAUUACUUCAGGGGGUACUAUAAGGGGGGUAAUUAGAGGCUCUGGGAGAGGGGUGGUGAAAUCCGAUACUUCUUAUUCAGGGCCAUCAGGCAUUACUUCAACAUCUUUGUCUGCUUCAGUAGGUGCUGUGAAUUCAUCUUCACCUGCAAGUAUCGAUUUGUCUGGAUCUGCUGUACCUUUUAGAACAGAUGCAUCUGCAUUGGGUUCUUAUACUCCACCUGUAGCUGCUGGGAGCAGUAAGAGGAGGUUCUCCGAAAUGCCAGUGCAACCAGCUUUUUCACAGAAGGAACAAAGUCAGACCACCUACAGGGAUCGUGCAGCUGAGCGCAGGAGCUUAUACGGGUCAUCUGCUUUUGGAAACAAUCAAUAUGACCCUGAAACAGGGGACUCAGCAUAUUACCUUGGGCAACUUCCGUUUUUGUACAAGUGAUUGUGAUCUGAAAAGAUUAAGUUGUGUUACGGGACUUAAAAUGAAUUGCCUGUAGCUUUUAUACUUGCUGUUCCUGAUGCUACUCAACGAUAAAAAAGAGGAGAUUGCUAGUGGUCCAUAUGUUAACCUAUUAUGAAAUGUCUACUGACUUGUGAGGAACACUGUUUUAUCAUUUGUGAAUACUAAAGAUCGAGAUUCAGCAUUCAAAAGGGGUGUGACGGAUUCAAUGCCCUUCCCCCCUGGUGUUGGAGGACGAGGUGCUGCUGAUGGGAAUUAUAAUGUUCAGAGCUAUGAGGUGAUUACUGCUGAGAAAGCUAUUGACGAGAGUAAUGUUGGCAACAGGAUGCUUCGGAACAUGGGAUGGCAAGAAGGCUUGGGAUUGGGUAAGGAUGGGAGCGGCAUGAUUGAGCCUGUUCAAGCCCAGUCGGUUGAGAAAAGAGCAGGGUUGGGGAGUCAGCCGAAGAAGUUGGAUCCUAGCCUUGAAGUUCAAGCUGGAGAUAGCUAUCGGACUCUUAUACAGAAGAAAGCUCUUGCUAGGUUUAGAGAAAUGUCAUAGGGAAGUUUCAUAUCAAGAGGUUAAUUCAAACUAUCCUAUCCUUGUCAUAAGAGUGAUUAGUCUAGAUGCAUCUGAAUAUGAAAAAGUAGUCUGCAGUGUGAAUUUUUUUCAAAACAUUGUUUCACAAUUUUAUAUUAUUAGUCUUUUAUCGCCAAAAUUUGUCUUCAACUUC